GAUGAACGCUGGCGGCGUGCCUAAUACAUGCAAGUCGAGCGAACAGACGAGGAGCUUGCUCCUCUGACGUUAGCGGCGGACGGGUGAGUAACACGUGGAUAACCUACCUAUAAGACUGGGAUAACUUCGGGAAACCGGAGCUAAUACCGGAUAAUAUAUUGAACCGCAUGGUUCAAUAGUGAAAGACGGUUUUGCUGUCACUUAUAGAUGGAUCCGCGCCGCAUUAGCUAGUUGGUAAGGUAACGGCUUACCAAGGCAACGAUGCGUAGCCGACCUGAGAGGGUGGUCGGCCACCCUGGAACUGGGACACCGUCCAGGCGACUGCGGGAGGGCGCAGUAGGGAAUCUUCCGCAAUGGGCGAAAGCCUGACGGUGCAACGGCGCGUGAGUUGUGAAAGUCUUCGGAUCGGAAAACUCUGUUAUUAGGGGAAAACAAAUGUGUAAGUUACUAUGCACGGCUUGACGGUACCUGAUCAGAAAGCCACGGCUAACUACGUG
rnacentral:rRNA from 1 species